rnacentral:rRNA from 1 species
CCUACGGGUGGCAGCAGUGAGGAAUAUUGGUCAAUGGGCUUACGCCUGAACCAGCCAAGUCGCGUGAGGGAAGACUGCCCUAUGGGUUUUAAACCUCUUUUGUCAGGGAGCAACGCCGGCUACGUGUAGCCGGACUGAGAGUACCUGAAGAAAAAGCAUCGGCUAACUCCGUGCCAGCAGCCGCGGUCAUACGGGGGAUGCGAGCGUUAUCCGGAUUUAUUGGGUUUAAAGGGUGCGUAGGCGGAAUGCCAAGUCAGCGGUAAAAUCGCGGGGCUCAACCUCGCUCCGCCGUUGAUCCUGGCGGUCUUGAGUGGGCGAGAAGUAUGCGGAAUGCGUGGUGUAGCGGUGAAAUGCAUAGAGAUCACGCAGAACUCCGAUUGCGAAGGCAGCAUACCGGCGCCCAACUGACGCUGAAGCACGAAAGCGUGGGUAUCGAACAGGAUUAGAUACCCUUGUAGUC